ACUUUCUUUCAGGAAAACGUAGAUUUGGGCUUUAGAGUUAGAUGGGAUAGAGCAGAAUCUAGGGGAUUUUUGAGGGACGGUGCUUCCAAGUUUGUGUCACCGGUGUGCUGAGGAAGGGACCGGUCUUGCUGGAAAAAGUCAGAUUGCGUGGUGUUUGGUAGCAAGAAAUACCAGGCGGUAUCCUGGCCGUUUCAGAAACCACAGGAAAGGAAAGAGGCUGGCUUUGCAGUCGGGAGGGCAGGCACUGGAUGGACGUUCUUGUAAUGUUUUCUUACUCUGGGAGAGUCCGUUUUUGUUUGUUUUUUUGUUUGAACUGUGGUAAGCACAUUCCGUUUUUGAUUCCCCAAACUUCAGGACAUUCAUGUUCUGGCGAGGUUUAGGAGACAAACUUCCUUCGUCUUUAGCCAGUUUGCUUAACUUCAUCUGAGUUUGGGUUUCCAAUACUUAUCUACAGGAAUCGCCAUGACCCCAGCUCUGAGGGAGGCAACAGCAAAGGGUAUCAGCUUUUCAUCUUUGCCAAGUACCAUGGAGUCUGACAAGAUGCUCUACAUGGAAAGUCCCAGAACUGUAGAUGAAAAGCUAAAGGGAGACACCUUUUCUCAGAUGCUUGGAUUUCCAACUCCUGAACCUACUCUUAAUACUAAUUUUGUGAAUUUAAAACAUUUUGGCUCCCCUCAGUCUUCAAAACAUUACCAGACUGUUUUUUUAAUGAGAUCUAAUUCUACAUUAAAUAAACACAAUGAGAAUUAUAAACAAAAGAAAUUAGGGGAGCCCAGUUGCAAUAAGCUGAAAAACAUACUGUAUAAUGGCAGCAACAUUCAGCUCAGUAAAAUCUGUCUUUCUCAUUCUGAAGAGUUCAUCAAAAAGGAGCCUCUAUCAGAUACCACGAGCCAGUGCAUGAAAGAUGUACAAAUUAUUCUGGAUUCAAAUAUAACCAAAGACACUAAUGUAGAUAAAGUACAACUACAAAACUGUAAAUGGUAUCAAGAGAAUGCACUUUUGGAUAAAGUUACUGAUGCUGAGAUUAAAAAGGGUUUAUUGCACUGUACUCAAAAGAAAAUUGUACCUGGCCACUCAAAUGUGCCUGUUAGUUCUUCAGCUGCUGAAAAAGAGGAGGAAGUACAUGCUCGUUUACUUCAUUGUGUAAGCAAACAGAAAAUUUUACUUAGCCAGGCUAGAAGAACUCAGAAACAUUUGCAGAUGCUCCUGGCAAAGCAUGUUGUUAAGCACUAUGGUCAGCAGAUGAAAUUGUCUAUGAAACAUCAACUCCCCAAAAUGAAGACAUUUCAUGAACCUACCACAAUUUUGGGUAAUAGUUUACCUAAAUGCACUGAAAUUAAGCCAGAAGUUAACACAUUGACUGCAGAGAAUAAAUUGUGGGAUGAUGCAAAAAAUGGCUUUGCACGGUGUACAGCUGCGGAAAUCCAAAGAUUUGCAUUUUCUGCUACAGGGCUGUUGUCUCAUGUUGAAGAGGGUUUGGAUUCCGAUGCAACUGAUAGCAGCUCUGAUGACGAUUUGGAUGAAUAUACCCUUAGAAAAAAUGUGGCAGUGUAAGUGCAAAAUUAUUAUUAGACUAUUUUCUGUUCCAUAUAUAGCAGCAAUUAUCUUAGUUUCCAGGUAUGUUGACAAGAAAUAGAUUUUCUAAAAUCUUAAUGCUAUAAUCUUUUUUUUUUUUUUUAAUUUUUAUUUUUGAGACAGAGUCUCGCUCUGUCGCCCAGGCUGGAGUGUAGUGGUGCAAUCCUGGCUCACUGCAACCUCCGCCUCCCGGGUUCAAACAAUUUUCCUGCUUUAGCUUCCUGAGUAGCUGGGAUUACAGGUGUGUGCCACCACACCCAGCUAAUUUUUGUAUUUUUCGUAGAGGCAAGGUUUCACCAUGUUGGUCAGGCUGGUCUCGAACUCCUGACCUUGUGAUCCACCCGCCUCGGCCUCCCAAAGUGCUGGGAUUAGAGGCGUGAGCCACCACAUCCAGCCACCAUAAUCUUUUAUGUUAUAAAACUUUUGUUGAAUUUUUUUAAUGUUUUGUUUGUUAAAUUAUUGUGUGUGAGUAUAUACAUACUAUUUAAAAAUAAAUUUACUCAACUUUUCUAUCUAGGAAAAACCCAUACAGGAAUAAUGAAAUUAUUGAGCUAUAAAUAAGCAUAUUUUCUAUUCUUGAAUAGGCUGUGGACAAGGCCUAAUCUUUGUUUAAGUGAUCUAGUUAAUAUGUGUAUCUAACUAAAAAACUUUAGUCUGCACAUAGGGAGCCCUCAUUGUCUUUGGGAGUGUAUCAGUUGAGAGUACAUGUAAGUUGACUUACUACUUUUUUUCCUUAACUCUCUACUCGUACUCAUAGCUUUCAGAACUGACCUUUAACAAUUCAGUUAGUUUUUGCUAGCUUAGUAUAACUAAAACAAAACUAUAAUGUCAGCUGUAAGAUAUCUAUUGAAUGCUUAUUAUGUGCUAGACACUAAGAUUCAGUUGUGAGCAACAUAUUCACAACCUCUGCCUUUUGGGGCAUGUACUUGAGAGAGAGGUAUCUCGAUAUUGAAUAAUAAAAAGCAGAGAAAAAUAGUUUCAGUUAUCACACCGUGAUAACACUACAGACCAACUCUGUCCAAUAGAAACUUCUGAGAUGUUGGAAAUCUUUUAUGUCUAUGCCAUCUAAUAGGCACUAGACUUAUGUGGAUAUUUAACACUUAAGAUUUGGCCAGUGAUACUAAGGAAAUGAGAUUUUAAUUUUAUUUAAUUGACUAAAUUUUAGUUGAAAUGGUCAGAUAAAGCAUAAUUUUUAAUUUAGUUUUCAGGGGAUCUAUUACUGUCCCCAAAUUGAUGUGAAUUAUUGUUUGUAUAUAUAGCAUUUUGGGGGAAAGAAGUCUGUCACACAUGGAUACAUACAGGGGCACAACACUCACUGGGGCUUUUUAAAGGGUGCAGGGUGGGAGGAGGGAGAGGAUCAGGAAAAAUAACUAAUGGGCACUAGGCUUAAAACCUGGGUGAUGAAAUAAUCUGUAUAACAAACCUGCAUGACACAGAUUUAUCUAUGUAACAAACCUGCACUUGUACCCCUGAACUUAAAAGUUAAAAAUAAACUUUUUCAAAUUCUCAAAAAUAAAUGAGAAUUACAGAAUUAGAAGCCAAACACAUUGAUAUUUACUAUGAAAUAGAAGAUCAGUAUAUUAGUUUUUAUAGUGAGAAAUAAAAUAUAAAGCAAAGUAAGCAUUCGGGUCUUCUAGUGUUCUGAUAUCACUGUAAUUGAAAUUUGUUUGCAUGUGGAAUUUAUAGUAGUUAAUAAGCGCAGAUUAUUUUUCUGGCUGGCAUUGUGCUAGUUAUUUAACAUAUGAUAUCUCAUUUAAUUCUUUCAACAACCCUAGCAGGUAGUUGUUAUCCUUAUUUCACUUAAGAAGAAACAGACUCAGCAUGGGUUAAAUAAUUUACCAAUGGUUAAAAAGCCAAGUAAGGGGCAGAAACAGGAUUUUGCUCAUAUAUAUGACUCUAAACACAUACUUAUUCUCUUGUAAUAUGCUGUUUUCUCAACAUUGCAUCACUGAUACUUAGAGCUACAAGAAUUAUUAGGUACAUGUGUUCUGAAAGAAGUCUGAAAAUUUACCAAUUUUUGUAUAUACAAUGCUUGUGAAGUAUUUAAAUAAAAUGUAGUGGGCAC
rnacentral:lncRNA from 1 species